CUGUAUUCCAGGAACUCUGCUAGGCAUUGGAGAUAAGGAAACGAAUAAGAGAUAUUUCCUUUGCUCAAGAAGCCAUGGGUAAACGGCAGUUACACCCCAGGGCCAUACGUGCUGUGAGAGGGAAGAGGCCAGCGGUCUGUGGGAGCUUAGGAAGGGCGGCUCCCCCAACCUGGGACAAGAGUGGCGUGGAAACCUUCCAGCUAGAGGCAGUUUUUCAGCUGAGACCUGAAGGGAAUCCUGGAGGCUCUACCUUCAAAUAAUCAGAAUCCAACAACUUCUUCCCCGCGCUGCUGCCUCUUCCUGGUCAGAGAUGCCGCUGACUGUACCGGGAGCAAUGCCCUGGUCUCCUAACUGGUCUCCUGCCUCUACACUUGCCCCCUCCGGUCUGUUAAGUCCACGUCCUGUUCUGGAUGUUUCAUAUAAAUGGAAUCACACAAUCAGUGGUACUGUGUGACUGGUUUAUUUCCUGAGUGCUACAUUUUACAACUCCGUGAUGUUAUUAUUUGGUUGGAGCAAAAGUUAUUGCAGUUUUGGCCAUUGCUUUUAAUGGCAAAUCCGCAAGAACGUUUGCAUCAACCUAAAUAAGUAAGCAAUGGUUAAACCAUACAUUCUCAAAUGUAUUAGAAAGGAAUAAUAGUAAAUAUUUGGAAGACAGUCAGUGGGGCAGGAUGCGAGGUAAGAAGAGUGACUGUAGGUCAGGAGUCAGGGGCGUCGGGUUCUAGUCCUGAUUCUGUCUUUAGCCAUGCAACCAAGUGAGCACAGCAACCUCUCUGGGGACACUAAUACAUUUGUUCAAGCCGCCCAGCAACUAAUGGAAAGAGAUUACAGCUAGGAC
rnacentral:lncRNA from 1 species